rnacentral:rRNA from 1 species
UACGAAGGGGGCUAGCGUUGCUCGGAAUCACUGGGCGUAAAGCGCACGUAGGCGGCUUCUUAAGUCAGGGGUGAAAGCCUGGAGCUCAACUCCAGAAUUGCCUUUAAGACUGCAUCGCUUGAAUCCAGGAGAGGUGAGUGGAAUUCCGAGUGUAGAGGUGAAAUUCGUAGAUAUUCGGAAGAACACCAGUGGCGAAGGCGGCUCACUGGACUGGUAUUGACGCUGAGGUGCGAAAGCGUGGGGAGCAAACAGG